rnacentral:misc_RNA from 1 species
ACGAUCUCCAGGUUGGCCAAACUGGGAAAAUUGUUGCCCCAGAAUUGUAUAUGGCAUUUGGUGUUUCUGGUGCAAUUCAACACAUAGCAGGCAUGAGAGAUUCCAAGAUCAUUGUUGCUGUAAAUAAAGAUGCAGAUGCCCCCAUAUUCCAGGUUGCUGAUUAUGGACUCGUGGGUGAUCUCUUCGAUGUCAUUCCGGAGUUGUUAGAGAAACUUCCUGAGAAAAAGUAGAAAA